AUUAAAUGAAACAAACGAAUAAGAAUUAGUUUUUUAAUACGAACUUUGGAACUUGAAAAAUAUUCCUAAGGAAAAACAGAAGACAAUCUUAGUCUUUACGUUUCCAUAAAUGGUGUUGCGUAUUAAUUAGAUCUCUUCAUUACCAAAAUCUAAUUAUAAUUAUUUUAAAAAGUGUUAAUCACACACACAUAUUCUUAAUUAUUUCUAAUCACUCAGACAAGGUGAAGAAACAUGGAAAUGAUAGCAAUUGCAACCGAUCCAGUACACGUUUUCCCAUUGGUUUUGGACUCAAUAAAUGAAAAAGCAACACACAUAUGUUUAAAACUUGAUAAGAUAGAAAGACGCAUUCAGAUAAUAGAUAAUGGUAUAGGAUUAUUUGUACCCAACUUUCCAGAUUUACAUGAGAAUGAAUUGACUAAUAAUACUCAAAAUUCGUCUUCUUUUAUAAGAUUAAGACACCAUAAUUUGAAAAUUGCAUUUAAGCAAUUUUAUCCUAUUUUGCUUACAUCUAAAUGUGAGAGUUUUGAGGGAACAUAUACAAAGAUCUUUGAGAAGGAAAUAAUUAUGUUAAGAGAUGAAAUAGAUCGAUCAAUAUAUGGCACAACAUUGACUUUAUAUAAUUAUAUUAUGUCUUCGGAAGGUCACAAAAAAAUCAUGUAUUUAAUAUGCCUUCUAAUUGCAAACGUUUCUUUAAAUAAUCCUCAGAUUUGGGAUUUUCCCCUACGAAAGUAUAAGGGAAAGAAAUUCUAUAGAAAAUUAUAUAAUUAAUGAAGAACAUUUGAAGACUGGUACUUUUGCCAUAAAGAGACCAAAAUUACAAAAUGUUGAUAGCAAUCGUAAUCAACGUUCCUUUGAAAAGAAUAUUACUUUUAACAUAUCUAAGAAUUGUAAUACAAAAGAAUAUAUCAAUUACGUAAAUCCAAGUUCAGUUAAAACUACAGUCAACGCAGUCCAAACAUUGUCGACAAAACAAGAAAAUAGCAUAGAAAAAAAAGUAGAUUAUGUAGAAGAUUAUAAUUGUUCUCUUUUUGAGUGGUCUGAUUGGAGUUAUCAUACAAAUGAAGUGAAAAAUAAUGAAGUAGAAAAGCACACUUCUCUAUCCAAAUUAAAUAAGAAAAAUAAAAGUAUUGAGAAAUAUUAUAAAGUUUUUGACUUUCUUCCGCAAAAGUUAAAUAAUCUUGCACAAUUUAGAACAAUUAAAUUAAUAAAAACACCUUCGUUUGAUAACAUUGAUACAAGCAUACUUUUUAACGAAUUAACAUGUAAUUAUCAAGAAAAUAGAAAACAACCACAAGAUAUAGAUAUACAUCCAUGUGCAUUUACACAAAAUUUCUAUGAAUUUAAAUUACAAAGGACUGCAUUAGAAUUUACAAAGGUAAUAAAUGAUCAUAGAAAUAUGGAUAAUAUCGGUGUAGAGAAGUAAUGUUAAUUAUCAUCAUUUUAUUUAGAUAUUAAAUCAAGUUAAUAAUCAAUUAAUAGCUGCCUUAAUGAUUUAUGAUAAUGUAGAAUUAUUGCUAAUGAUGGAUCAACAUGCUAUUCAUGAAAGAAUAAGAUAUGAAAAUUUACUUAACGGUUACAAAACAUCUGAUCAUAACAAUUUCCUAACUAAAAAAUUGCUAAUUCCAAUAACAAUAGAAGUGAAAAUGCAUACGUGUACAUUACUUCUCUCGAACAAAAAGUUAUUAGAUAAAUAUGGAAUCAAAUUAACUGCAAUUAAUGAAAAUACUUUAAGCAUAUAUAGUAUACCAAAAUGUUUUACAACUAAGAAACAAUGUUACAAUGACGUAAAAUUAAUAACCACAAUCCAGAAUUUGCUAAAUGAAAUUGCGAAUAAUAUUACGAAUGGAAAUGGUAUCAACAUUUUACCUUUAUCUAUUCACAAUGCUGUAUCAAUGGAAGCAUGUCAUGGUAAUUAUUAUUUGUACAAAUUGGUAAUCUUAGAAAAGGUGACCUAAAAAAUGUAAUUUAUAGAAAUUAUUCUGUUAUAUCUUCUUAGGUGCUA
rnacentral:misc_RNA from 1 species